CACUAUGAUGUUAACUAAAGAUGGAAAUUUUUUGUAAGAACCUGCCUAUUCAUUCCCUACAUCAUGAUUUCCAGAUCCCCCACUCAGAUUUAUACUGCAGCUCUGAGGCUCUUCAGUGAAAUAUGCUUUAAGUCUUGCUCAUACCUCCCUGGAACUACAUACUGGUGAGCACAGUUGUGUGUGCUGCACAGCUUGGGUACCAGAGCAGAUGCUUCUGCACUGACUGUUCAUGUGGAAAACAGGAAAACCAGCUGGAUUAUACUGGCAAAUACCUCAGGAAAGCAGAACUAAUUGCUCCAAUUAUUACUGGAGAACGAGGAGCCAACUGCAAUCGCAUCUUGGUGAGCUCAUACAUUCUCACAGAAUGGGGCCAUCAGGUGCUGUCUGCUACUUGCCCCCCAUCAGCCUGGGGUUUCACAAUCAGUUUGCAUAGCUCCUGUACUCACUUUAUCCUGUUACGGUGAACAACGAAAUAUAUAAUAAGGAGUCACAAAAUUGAUAUUGUGUCUACAAUACUACUACUUCAAAGGAAUAACAGCAAAAUAGUUUUAAGAUUAUCAAAUCCAAUUAAGGAUUACCUUUUUGCAACUGGGAAGCACAACAUGUUUUAACCCAGAAAAAAACAUGAUGGAAAAGCUCAAUGAUUUUUAAAAAAUUGGCACCCCACAACCUGUGCUUACAUUGCCCUCCUGGAUUCUGGAAAUGAGACUGAAAUAUGAGUGUACAAUCAUUGCACCUUUUGGGGCAAAACUGGCAUAUCUUCCUCUGCAAAUAAGGACAAGCACACUGAAUUUUACCCAUUAGCAGGAAAAACGUCAAUGAAUUGUGAGAGCCUGGGAAGGGAUUACAGCACAAGAGAAGAUCUGUGAAUCCAGUCUGUCAGUUUAUUGGGAUAAUCUCUCCAAUUCCAUGGAAAUAAGCAAAAGAUCAGUGCCAAUUUGAACCAAUUGAGAAUCUGGCUCUUUAUUUGUGAUGAGGGGAUAAAUUGAUGAUGGUAUUUAGGUUUGAUGCACAGGUUCCUAUAGAUAGAAAACAUUUUUUAAGUGACUGAUGAGAAAGUUAUCAAGAGAUUUAACUGUACAUAGAUCAAAACUUUCCUUUCCACUGGCGGUUUAAAAAAUUAUCUAUGCUAAUGACUUUUGACAUAACAGCUGUGUUGGGAGAGGAAAAAGAAAUGGUUAAUGUCCCAAUUAGAAUUCCAAGAAAAAAAAAAAAAAGUGCAAUUAGGUUUUUGUCACAGUAGAAGAAAUGUUCAAUUAUGCUUAAGCAGACCAACUUGUAUGCAUACUUUUUAUUAGGCAACAACAAGACCAAAGCUGUACCAUUUUUCAACAGAUGUCUAAGUCCUCCAGUGGAAUGGAAGUGCACAUGUUUGUUGUUUUGUAAUGUUUUUUAGCACAAUUUUCAUCGUGGAUUUAUGCGCUGAUGUGGAAAGAUCAAGCAGAUUUCUUGAUUCAUGUUAAUAUUUGCAGCAAUUAAUGGAGGGGCAAAAUAAAUAAAUAUUGCAAUGAAUUAGUUUACAUGGCAAGAAGGAUUUGGGAUGUGGUUGGCUUCUUAACUAUGUCUUUCUGCUCACCUCCUUCAGGCUUGACUGGUCCAUCAGACAUCACUUUCCUGAGGGCUAGUUGACUUUGGUCUUUGUUGUCAUUGGCUGGUGGAGGCAGAUUGUCAGACUGAGUUCUUUGAAUAGGGAGGACUCCUGCUAUGCUGUGUCUGUGCUGCUUCCUGGCAUGAUUAGACUGACCGCUUUUAUGUGCUGCUGUGGCAGUGUGGGUGAAAUGGAAACCCAGAGUAUGUAUCCUCAGAUGGAACCAGCUUAAAUGUUAUUCAUGCAAACAGAAGUGGUUUUUUUUUCUGUAUUUAAGUAGUGUUUUCAAACACCAAAGAGACACCACAUGCACAGCAUUAAAGAGUAUUAAAACUGGCUGUUUCUUUAUUAAUGAUGGUGAAGACAAGGGAAAAAAUUUUUCCCAAGUUUUUGCAUUAUACCAUGUUAAGUUUAUGGCAUAUCAACAAAUCCUGAAGACAAACACAAUGAUUCCACAGUCAGAGAGUUUUAAUUUGCCAUCAACUAAACCCUCAGCUAGCAAUCAGAAACUACUCUGAAGUAUACUCUGGAGAGCAAAGUUUUAAUAUAUUAAUCUAUUUGAAGUUGUCAGAUGAAAUCUAUCUUGACUCUUAAUCAAUCCAUGGCACAAAAACUACUAGAAAAAUUUAACUGACUAUGGCACCUGACUUAGCUCUCACUUCCCUUCGACUUUAUGAACUCAUUAACGGUGUUGAAAUCUGAUGUUGUUAAUGGCUUUGUGUCUUUAAUGAUUUUGCAUUUAAUGUGUUUAAUGUUUUUGUCUGUUGCUGUUCUGCUUAACACUAAUGUGAUUUUAUCUGAGAUAUUAAGAAGGUUGCCUUGUAUUUCCUUUCAAAAAAAAAAAAAAAGAUAUUUACAGUCAUCUUUCAAAAAUAGAAAUCUCAGACAUAUAGUUAAAAAACCUUUUUCUUCAAUUAUAAAUCUUCUUUUGUGUAUAUAGUACUGUCCUUCCUGAUCACUACUUAUGGAUAUAUUUUGUUGUUAAUGUGCUCCAGCACUUGUGUGCAACUUGAAGAACUGGCAGCUGUAUCUAUGCAGGUUUUGAUUAUUUCAUUGGUAGUUAUUUAGUGACAUCAAAAUAUCACCACACAAAGAAAUUCUCUGUGAGUCAUGCACAACCAUGGAACAUCAUGGACCAUGAGUGAAGGGACUGAUGGAGAAACAGCCAGUUUCACUGCAGUCUAUAUAAAUUAAAAUAAAUAAAUUAAAAAAAAAAAA